rnacentral:rRNA from 1 species
GCAUAUCAAUAAGCGGAGGAAAAGAAACCAACAGGGAUUGCCUUAGUAACGGCGAGUGAAGCGGCAAUAGCUCAAAUUUGAAAGCUGGCGUCUUCGACGUCCGCGUUGUAAUUUUUAGAGGAUGCUUCGGCGAGGACUCCUGCCUAAGUCCCCUGGAACGGGGCGUCACAGAGGGUGAGAAUCCCGUAUGUGGCGGGCGGUCCAAGCCAUGUGAAGCUCCUUCGACGAGUCGAGUUGUUUGGGAAUGCAGCUCUAAAUGGGAGGUAAAUUUCUUCUAAAGCUAAAUAUUGGCCAGAGACCGAUAGCGCACAAGUAGAGUGAUCGAAAGAUGAAAAGCACUUUGGAAAGAGAGUUAAAAAGUACGUGAAAUUGUUGAAAGGGAAGCGCUUGCAACCAGACUCGCUCGCAGUUGCUCAGCCGGCCUCUUGGCCGGUGUACUCUUCUGCGAUCGGGCCAGCAUCAGUUCGGGCGGCUGGAUAAAGGUGUCGGGAAUGUAGCACCCUUCGGGGUGUGUUAUAGCCCGGUGCGGAAUGCGGCCAGCCUGGACUGAGGAUCUCGCUUCGGCAAGGAUGCUGGCGUAAUGGUUGUAAGCGGCCCGUCUUGAAACACGGACCAAGGAGUCUAACAUCUAUGCGAGUGUUUGGGUGUCAAACCCAUGCGCGUAAUGAAAGUGAACGGAGGUGGGAACCCUUCACGGGGUGCACCAUCGACCGAUCCUGAUGUCUUCGGAUGGAUUUGAGUAAGAGCAUAGCUGUUGGGACCCGAAAGAUGGUGAACUAUGCCUGAAUAGGGUGAAGCCAGAGGAAACUCUGGUGGAGGCUCGCAGCGGUUCUGACGUGCAAAUCGAUCGUCAAAUUUGGGUAUAGGGGCGAAAGACCAAUCGAACCAUCUAGUAGCUGGUUCCUGCCGA